UAUGUGGAUAAUAUUUAUUUGUAUCUUAUCUAUAGAACAAAUAUUUACAGAUACAAACGGAAUCACAGCAAAGUUGCUAUAAAACCAUCCAGACCUCUCGAUGGCCACUUCUGAAAACAUCCACGGUGAAGGGCAGGGCCAGGCCUGGCUGUGGAGUGGGCCAGCUGAGUACCUGGGCGUCAGCCAAGGGAAAUGGUUGGGGAUUAUGGCUUCAGCACUCUGCCGGAGCACAUUCCUGAGCGCUGACAACGUGGAGCCCUCACCGCCCCCACCUACCCCAACCUCAAUGGGGAAGGAAAGGGGCCUGAGCUGGGCAGGGCUGCCCGGGCUCACUAUGUGCCUGCUCCAGGAGUCCCUGGCCCCUGUGCUGGCAGGAGCAUCCCUGAGCUGGACCGGGAGGCCUCUCUGGCCUGGGGCUGCUCCCUGCCCGGCAGGCUGCUGUUUGGCAGCUGGAGGUGGCAAGAGCUGCUGGUGCUGCCAGGGCGUGUUGGCCAGGAAUGAGCUCCCAGGGCAGCCCUGAGGAAAGGGUCUUAGGAAGCGCCUCCCAGCUCACUACUAGGAGCUGGGGACUGUCAGUGCUGAGUGGGGCUGGGGUACAGGAGCACCUGCCUCUCCUUUCUUUGGCUUAGAAGUGGGGAAGGAAGGGCCAGGAAAAGGGACCAAAGCCGCCCCAGCCUUGGCCCCUAGGCCGCCUGG
rnacentral:lncRNA from 1 species